CCCGCCCCCGAGGCGCGGGGUUUGCGGCAGCUCUGGGUCGCUGGCUCCGGCGUUUGGGCGGCUCGUCAUUCCUGUCCAUCAGAGUCGCGGCCCCUGGGACCAGGGCGAGGCCGGGGCUCCGGCCGAGAGCACCUCCCCGCUAUCACCUGUCCCCAAACUUUCCCUCAGUCGAGGUGCCGGCGGGGCGGCUCGACGGCCGGAAGUGCACCCUGCUCGGGCUCUGCACCCCCGGCAGCUUCCUCCGCCCGCGAGGGCCCCGCGCGUUCCCAUUUCCCCUACCAGCAAACUGAGCCUCGGCCACCCGGCCCACUUGCCCGUCGGAAGUCAGAAGGCGGCGUGGAAGGCCUCGCUUCUGGGGGCUUCCAGAUGGAUCUUCGUCACCACCCUAGGAUUGCUUACCAUCCUCAAGCUUGAAAACACACCUGUAAUCAUUUGGCGGGGGAGAGGCACCUUUAAGCGCCCAGGUGAACUUUGUCUGCAGGCAGCAACUGUCCUUUUUGCUGGAUCUUCCGCUGAGAAUCUACCUCUUGAAGAUUCCAAAUGA
rnacentral:lncRNA from 1 species